GGGAUAAUAGUUUAAUGGGAAAACACCAGUAAACGAACAAAGUAUUAUUAUGCGAGGAUCAUAUUUUUUUAUGAUCCCGUGCUUGGAAUACUAUUCUAAAGUAUCUAAAGUAAUAAGAAAAGUUCUGGCAUUAUUAGUUCGAAUCUAAUUUAUUCCACCA
rnacentral:tRNA from 1 species